rnacentral:rRNA from 1 species
GACGAACGCUGGCGGCGUGCUUAAUACAUGCAAGUCGAACGGAAAGGCCAUGCUUUUGCUUGUUGCUCGAUUGCCGAACGGGUGAGUAACACGUGUGUAACCUGCCCUUGUCUUUCGGAUAACUUCAGGAAACUGCGGCUCAUACCGGAUAUGAUCUCCUGCUCCAUGUUGUUGGAUGGUAAGUUUCGGCGGUUGGGGAUGGACUCGCUGCUUCUGCGCUUGUUGGUGGGGUAGUUGCUUACCAAGGUUAUGACGGCUAGCCGGCCUGAGAGGGUUACCGGCCACAAUGGGACUGAGAUACGGCCCAGACUGCUACGGGAGGCAGCAGGGGAAAAUAUUGCAGAAUGGGCGGAAGCCUGAUACAGCAACGCCGGGUGCGGGAUGACGGCCUUCGGGUUAUAAACCGAUUUCGAAUGUAACGAAGAGAGAGUGACGGUAAUUGGUAAGAAAGCACCGGCUAACUACGUG